GCCCUCUUAGCUUAGUGGUAAAGCGUAUUACUAGUAUUCUAAUGCUAUGAUAAGAUCGCUAGUUCGAUUCUAGUAGAGGGUA